CAUAUUGAGGUCUGGUAUGAUGAAAUUUUGGGUAGAAACUGUCUUAAUAUAUUUUUUAUAAUUUAAUAUGCAAGUGAAAAUACUUGCUUUAAUAUAAAAGACGAGAAGACCCUAGAAACUUAUAUUAUUUUUGUUGGGGCGACAGGAUUACAGUUAACUAAUCUUACUUAACGUGACGUUUAACAGUUAGAAAAAGUUACUCUAGGGAUAACAGCAA
rnacentral:rRNA from 1 species